UAAUUCAAAUUGCUUUCAUUGUGUGAUUUUUUUUAAUUUUUAAAUGAAAACAAAUCACGGCUAGAUUUCGAAUUGUUCGAAAUAUUCGAAUAUCUUUACAGUAUCAAUUAUCACGAUAUCACGUAAUCAAUGUUACAACAUAACCUAUAUGAAUAAAUAAUUUAUAUAUGAUAUGAAUAAAUUAAAAAAAUGUACGUUGCACUCGCAAGGGUAAUUAAGCAAAGUUUAUGUUGUAGACAGGAUUUUUCUCUUAUUUUUAAAUUUUAUAUUUACUUGUAUAUUAUUACAAGGGUUAAGACAGUAAUUUUCAAAGGAUUAAGAAAAUCGCUAUUUUACCUGACCUGUUCUAAUAACAAUAAACAUGUUAUAAUCGGAUCAAACUUAAAUAAAACUGAAAUCGUUACUUAUAUUUUCCCUAAUUCGAAUGACCUGCUCCCUAUCUAAACAAGUAGGAGGGGGUAUUUGCAGCAGAAUUUGUAUAUAUAUAAGUUAGGGAAGAGACUGAAGAAUUUAAUUCGAAAUUCCCAUCAUUCCAAGUCAGUCGUUCCUUCAAGAACUGAAUCAAAAAUCAGUAUCAUACGUUCAGUAUCAUAAUCACAGUGAAUAAUCAUGAACAUCACACUACAUGUGCAAACAAGAGUUUUGCCUCUAAUUAUUGUUAAUAAUGGUAGAAAUGAAGAUGCAUAUUUGGUGCGUGUUAUUAUAAACUCUUCGAAUAUCGAAGUUCAUUGUGUGUAUUUUGUGCAUGAAAGGAUAUCCUUGCUGUAUAUUAUUAUAUAUAAUUUGGAAAAUGUGCGGGAGAAGGAUUUUGAGACUGGACGAUGUGCAGACGAGGUGUGAUACUGCUAUUUUUACAUCCUCGUCAAAUAUAAUUUGGAAAUUGUAUGGGAGAAGAAUUUUCGGAUUGGAUCAUAUCAUUAAUAAAACAUAUAAGAUUAAUUAUAAUAUUUUUACAUCCGUCACUGCAUUUCUUGUUUAUUGUCUUCUUCUUGGAGAAAUUGAAUUUAAGUUCUUCGAAAGAAGAGGAUAAUGAUUGUUAAUUAUAACGUGAUAAUGGAAAAUUGUAAAUUUUCUAAUGUUUUUGAAGAAGCAAUGUAAAAAAAAAUAAUUUUAUUCCUUUUUUGUAAGAUAAGCAUAUUAUGUAAAAUGUAUUAAAUAAUUUAAUACAUAUAUGUAAAUAAAUUGUAAUAUGUAAAUUAAUUUAGUUAUAUGUAAAUAAAUUUUUUUAUAUUUUUGCAAAAGA